UAGAGUUUGAUCCUGGCUCAGGAUGAACGCUGGCGGUGUGCCUAAGAUAUGCAAGUCGAGCGGUCCCGCAUUCUGCGGGAUAGCGGCGGACGGCUGAGUAACACGUCCGAACCUACCCCGAUCAGGAGGAUAACCUGCCGAAAGGCGUGCUAAUACUCCAUAACAAUCUGGUAACCGACGGGUUAUCAGAUUAAAGGGCGUAACUGCCCGGAUCGGGAGGGGCGGGCGGCCUAUCAGGUAGUUGGUAGGGUAAUGGCCUACCAAGCCGAUGACGGGUAGCCGGUCUUAUGAGGACGGCCGGCCAGAGGGGCACUGAGACACGGGCCCCAGCCCUACGGGGCGCAGCAAUUAGGAAUCGUUGGCAAUGGGCGAAAGCCUGACCACGCGACACCGCGUGCGGGAAGACGCUCUUCGGAGCGUAAACCGCUGUGGCAGGGGAAGAAGUCCCGCCGUAGGCGGGAUUGACGGUACCCUGCUAGAAAGUGGCCGCCAACUGCGUGCCAGCAGCGGCGGUAAUACGUGGGCCACAAGCGUUAUCCGGUGUUACUGGGCGUAAAGCGUGUGUAGGCGGUCUGUUAGGUCAGUCCUCAAAUCCCACUGCUCAACAGUGGAAAGGGGAUUGAUACCGGCAGACUAGAGCUUCCUUAAAGGAAACUGGAAUUGGUGGAGGAGCGGUGAAAUGCGUUGAUACCACCAAGAACACCGAAGGCGAAGGCAAGUUUCUACAAGGAAGCUGACGCUGAGACACGAAAGCUAGGGGAGCGAACCGGAUUAGAGACCCGGGUAGUCCUAGCCGUAAACGAUGCUCGCUAGCUAUCCUCUUUUGGAUUUUUUCCAAAGGGGAUGGCGAAGCUAACGCGUUAAGCGAGCCGCCUGGGGAGUACGGCCGCAAGGCUGAAACUCAAAGGAAUUGGCGGGGAGACACACAACUAGUGGAGCAUGUGGUUCAAUUCGAGACGAACCGAAGAACCUCACCAGGGCUUGACAUGAUAGGGUGUUAGGGCCCCGAAAGGGGACACCGAUCCUUGCCUCUGGCAGGGAACCUAUCACAGCUGCUGCAUGGCUGUCGUCAGUUCGUUCCGUGAGGAGUGCCCUUAAGUGGGACAACGAACGCAACCCUCGUCCUCUGUUAAAUCUGUCAGAGGAGACUGCCCCGCAAUUUGCGGGGAGGAAGGAGGGGAUGACGUCAAGUCAGCACGGCGCUUAUGCCCUGGGCUACACACAUGCUACAAUGAGCCGGACAAAGGGUUGCCAACCCGCAAGGGGGAGCCAAUCCCAAAAACCGGCUCUCAGUGGGGAUUGAGGUCUGAAACCCGACCUCAUGAACGCGGAAUUAGUAGUAAUCGCGGAUCAGCCAUGCCGCGGUGAAUACGUUCUUGUCUCUUGCACACACUGCCCGUCAAGUCAACAAAGUCGGUUUUAUCCGAAUCCCGACUUAGUCGGGAGAGGAUAAGACCGGCGAUGGGGGCUAAGUCGUAACAAGGUAACC
rnacentral:rRNA from 1 species